AUACACUGCUGUACAGGCAGCUUAGAAA
rnacentral:other from 1 species